rnacentral:lncRNA from 1 species
AUGAGGAAGUCUCCCGAUCUGCCUACAGAAGCUGUUGGUGACCCUGGAGUGUGCCAAGCCAGGGGGCAGGGGAGGGGCCGGGGCAGCAAUGCCACCUGGUGCCGAGCGGCCCAGAGGAGACCUCGGAUACGGCGUGGCUGGAGGAGAGCCCUGGAAUUGCUGACGUGGGUUCCGCGCCUGAUGGCUGGACGAGGUCAGGAUACUGGAGGGGGAAGACUCCAUCUCUUCUCUGAAGCCACUCAACAGACUUCCAGGAUGCUUCGGAGCAAAGCCAAGGUAAGACCCCUUGCCUUGAGCAAGGAUAACUUGGAUCAUAAAAGUGCAGAGCAGGAUGUGUCCUUAGGUCAACCCACCCAUUUUACAGAUGAAGGCACUGAGGCUCCAGCUGAGACCUUAGGGUGUCUGGGACUCAUCGCCCCACUGCCAUGAAUCAUGACUUUGACAUUUCCAGAAGAAGGAUGGCAACCCAGGGGGAUGUUAUAAGGCUGUAAGCAAGGAAGGGCCGGACACCCAAGUUACUCAUCUCCUCAACCCAGCACGGUUACGAGUCAGUCACAUGCAGCUUUGUCCACCUGCACCCCCCACCCCCACCCCUCCCCGGCUGUUCAGAGCCCUGGCCAAGCCUGUGGCAAGAGGUCAAGGGCAGAGGAGGGUCUGCAGUGGUUUGGAGAAACAGUCAGCUUUUCCCACUGCUGGCAUUCCUGCCUCAGUAAGUUUCUGCUCUGUCCCUGAGCCCCAAGGUGCUAAAUGAAGAAGAUUCCAGAAGGAUGGUGGAGCAGGAGGGGCUACAUCUGAUCUGCCUCAUCCUGGGGGCGGGUGGGCAGGGGGUGGGCUGGUAGAGAAACCAGGACAAAAGCUGCAUUAAUCCAGAUCUGACUUGCCUGAGCUCAGUGGAAAUGAGUAAUUUGUGGUGUGUCUCCCGAGAUGUUUCUUUUCCUUGGGAAGAAGACAAUAGGAAUCUACUGGGCAGAAACCCCCAGACAUCUCGAUGCCUUUCGACCCCAGGCUCACCCACAGGGCCUGCCUGGAGGUCCUCUUAGAAAGCUUCUUGCUGCAAGCCAUCUGUCUCACUUCUCUAUCUUCAGAGGACAAUGUCCUACCUCGCCCUCAAGAAUUUUCUCAAAACAGAAUUUACUGUAAUUCCACGGCACAGAAACACACGGGCAUAGGGACGAAGGAAGGUGCUUCUCUCCAAAAGCAGCGGAAGCUUUCUAUUCUCCUAGAUCCCUUGUGUAACAGAUGAUUUGGGAUCACUAGAGGAUUUUAGCCAAUGCUUGGGAAGUUUGAGACAUGAAAGGGAGAAGCAGGCAUAAGGUAAUAACAUCUGGAUAGCAGAACAAAGGAGCUGUGAUGAUCCUAAUAUUUAUAUGCUGUGCACUUUAUUUUUCCCAGUUUUAUUGAGGCAUAAUUGACACACGGCACUGUGUCA